AGAGUUAUUUGCUGUCGGCGGUGUAGGGGAGGCACCAGAAGAUGGUCGAGGGACUUGAACUGCUUGAGGCUGAAAGGGAGCAGG
rnacentral:SRP_RNA from 14 species